rnacentral:rRNA from 1 species
AGUGAACGCUGGCGGUAGGCCUAACACAUGCAAGUCGAACGGCAGCACAGUAAGCGCUUGCUCUUACGGGUGGCGAGUGGCGGACGGGUGAGGAAUACAUCGGAAUCUACUUUUUCGUGGGGGAUAACGUAGGGAAACUUACGCUAAUACCGCAUACGACCUACGGGUGAAAUCAGGGGAUCUUCGGACCUUGCGCGAUUGAAUGAGCCGAUGUCGGAUUAGCUAGUUGCCGGGGUAAAGGCCCACCAAGGCGACGAUCCGUAGCUGGUCUGAGAGGAUGAUCGGCCACACUGGAACUGAGACACGGUCCAGACUCCUACGGGAGGCAGCAGUGGGGAAUAUUGGACAAUGGGCGCAAGCCUGAUCCAGCCAUACCGCGUGGGUGAAGAAGGCCUUCGGGUUGUAAAGCCCUUUUGUUGGGAAAGAAAAGCAGCAGGUUAAUACCCCGCUGUUCUGACGGUACCCAAAGAAUAAGCACCGGCUAACUUCGUG